rnacentral:ncRNA from 2 species
AGGCAGUGUAUUGUUAGCUGG